GACGAACGCUGGCGGCGUGCUUAAUACAUGCAAGUUGAGCGGAGCUUUGAGAAAGCUUGCUUUUUCAAAGUCGAGCGGCGGACGGGUGAGUAACGCGUGGGCAACCUGCCCUCUAGUCUGGGACAACAGCUCGAAAGGGCUGCUAACACCGGAUAUGCUCCCACUUCGACAUCGGAGAGGGAGAAAAGUUUACGCUAGAGGAUGGGCCCGCGUUCCAUUUAGCUUGUUGGUGAGGUAACGGCUCACCAAGGCGACGAUGGAUAGCCGACCUGAGAGGGUGACCGGCCACACUGGGACUGAGACACGGCCCAGACUCCUACGGGAGGCUG
rnacentral:rRNA from 1 species